rnacentral:rRNA from 1 species
UACGAAGGGGGCUAGCGUUGCUCGGAAUCACUGGGCGUAAAGGGUGCGUAGGCGGGUUUUUAAGUCAGAGGUGAAAUCCUGGAGCUCAACUCCAGAACUGCCUUUGAUACUGAAAGUCUUGAGUAUGGGAGAGGUGAGUGGAACUGCGAGUGUAGAGGUGAAAAUUCGUAGAUAUUCGCAAGAACACCAGUGGCGAAGGCGGCUCACUGGCCCAUAACUGACGCUGAGGCACGAAAGCGUGGGGGAGCAAACAGG